rnacentral:rRNA from 1 species
AAACCAGCACCUCAAGUGGUCAGGAUGAUUAUUGGGCCUAAAGCAUCCGUAGCCGGCUCUGUAAGUUUCCGGUUAAAUCCACUAGCUCAACUAGUGGGCUGCCGAAAAUACUGUAGAACUAGGGAGUGGGAGAGGUAGACGGUACUCGGUAGGUAGGGGUAAAAUCCUUUGAUCUAUUGAUGACCACCUGUGGCGAAGGCGGUCUACCAGAACACGUUCGACGGUGAGGGAUGAAAGCUGGGGGAGCAAACCGGAUUAGAAACCCGAGUAGUCC